GGGUCAGUAGGUUGGUCGUGCCACCGGUACGUACUGGUCUCACUGAUUCCUCCUUCCUGAAGAACCGUAAUGCCAUUAAUUUGGUGUUGCGGGGAAACAGGGCUGUUACUUUGAAAAAAUUAGAGUGUUUAGAGCAAGCUAACGCUUGAAUACAUUAGCAUGGAAUAAUGAAAUAGGACGAUCGAUCCUAUUUUGUUGGUUUCUAGGAUUGACGUA
rnacentral:rRNA from 1 species